rnacentral:pre_miRNA from 2 species
UCUUAUGGAUAAACAAAGAAAGUGGUUUCUUGAGAUGGAGUCUGUUUCUAUUGAGGAUGCUGUGAA